AACUCUUUCCAUGCUAUAUAAACUAAUCACUGUUUUAGGCCAGUAAGUAAUCUUCAAUGGAAGAAGACCAAACAUCUACAGCUCUAUUAAAAAUUUAUCUUCCCACGAAUCUCCAGUUGUCAUUUCACCUUAUUGCAACUGCAAAAAUCCCUUCUUUGUACAGACAGACAGAACCCAGCCAAUCACUAAAUCCAGGAUUUCCAUCUUCCGAAUUCAAGACCCGUGUUAAAAUCCUCACACCAUAUUAGGUA
rnacentral:misc_RNA from 1 species